rnacentral:rRNA from 1 species
UACGGGGGGGGCAAGCGUUGUUCGGAAUUACUGGGCGUAAAGGGCUCGUAGGCGGCCAACUAAGUCGGACGUGAAAUCCCCAGGCUCAACCUGGGAACUGCGUCCGAUACUGGAUGGCUUGAAUCCGGGAGAGGGAUGCAGAAUUCCAGGUGUAGCGGUGAAAUGCGUAGAUAUCUGGAGGAAUACCGGUGGCGAAGGCGGCAUCCUGGACCGACAUUGACGCUGAUGAGCGAAAGCUAGGGGAGCAAACAGG